UGGCAGAUGAGAAGAAGCUUAACAACUCUCAGAAAUGCCAAAACAAGUCAGACACCCAACAUCCAAAGGCCAAGAAGAAGACGUCAAAACCAAGAUGGAUUUGGCCUUUUCGUUGUUUCAGAAGGAAUCAUCGCGUCUCUCCGGCUGAGAGCACCGAUUUCUUGAUUACUACCAAAGUAACAGAGAUAACAAACUCCACUGAAGAGAUAACAGGAGAGCAACUCGCUCAAAAAAUGAGUACAUUAUUCUCA